GGACUACGGGGGUAUCUAAUCCCUUUUGCUCCCCUGGCCUUCGUUCCUCACCGUCAGAAUCGUUCUCGUUAGACGCCUUCGCCACAGGUGGUCUUUUAGAGAUUAUAGCAUUUUACCGCUCCCUCCAAAAUACCUCUAACGCCUCCCGAUCUCAAGUAAUGCAGUCUCCUCUGCACGCCGUCAGGUUAAGCCUGACGAUUUCACAAAGAAUUUACAAAACCGGCUACGAACGCUUUAGGCCCAGUAAUGCUGAUCGCCACUUGCAGCGCCGGGGUUACCGCGGCGGCUGGCACCGGUCUUACCCACUGCUUAUUCGACAAGGUUCCUACCCUUGCCAAAAGCUUAUGUUUCCAUAAGCACUAGGGAUUCCCUUAUCACACUUUCGUGCAUUGUAAAGGUUACGCGCCUGCUGCCCCCCAUAGG
rnacentral:rRNA from 1 species